rnacentral:siRNA from 1 species
AUGAGCCUUUGCAAAGUCAUGAUG